CAUUAGCAAAAGGUGCAAAUAGUUCACGGUUGCAUUUUAAAAAAUAUUUAUGCACAUUGCAUUCAUUUAGAUAUAUUUUUAAAAAAGUUAUGAAAAGCGUAGUUCACAGGUUACUGUUUCUACAUAUGUUGUAAUACAACACAAAUAAUGUAGAACAUAAAAAACGAAGUAAGCAACUGAAAGUUUCUACUAUGAUUAAAAACACUGAUUCCAGUAUUUAGUGAUAGCUAGAAAAUUGCUUCCAGGAUCCAUUCCAACACUGCAUUAUCACACUUACACAGUCAAAGCUAACCAGCCCCCGAACAUGCUAUAUCAACAUUGUGCAUGCCAAACCACUCUCCAGCCAUAUUUAACGAUUAUAUAUGGUAUAAUAUUUCAACUGGUAAUCUGGGAAUCACAUGGAUCUUUAAAACGCACUUCCUAUUGCCAUGACUGAUUUACAGACGAUUUGACACAGCGAAGAAAAACCUAUGUUAGUUUCUAUGUUUAGUUUGUAUUUACAAUACAGUAAAAGUAAUAAAAUGACAAUAUCAGUAAAAAUGAGCAAGUGGCAGAGCCACCCCACCCAUGGCACGAGGCUCCGGUUUGUUCUGGGUUCAUCCAAAGGACAACACACAUUCAUGAGACCCUUUUACAACUCAAACAAAAGUGAGGAAAAAAACAACAGCAAGUGUUGCGCUCUGCAUGAAUCCACACAAAUCGCUUAAAACUCCUAACGUGGAAACGUCACUUUGCUGAUUUAAUAAAAAUAUCCCACAAUCCAUAUCAUAUAUUUAAAAAAAAUAAUCACCAGACUUUUACUUUCUUUGUCUCCUCCUAUCUUCUCACUGUUUCACUUCCCUUUGAACAGUUUUGUUUCCUUCAUUUGGUUACGUUACGAGAUUAUUUUUCUUCAUUCAUUAGCAAUACCACGAGGAAAAAAAACCCAACACGGUAAGUUCUGAAUCCAGUUCAAUGUUAAACGAUUUUGUCUUCUGACUUCUAAGUCCCUGGAUUCCUCAAUUAUAUUUAAGUAUACUCUAAACCAAGCGUUCUUAAAUACACUCUACUAUUUAAUGCCUGGUUCACAUGCCUAUAAUAUUUUUUUAUACUGAAUGGUAUACAAACAUUUGAACAUAUAAAAUCUUCUUUUUGUUUUGCAGUUAAACUAAAUUAUCAAUGUUACGUGUAUAAAAUCCCCCUUCUUGAAAAAUAAGGGUCUCCCCCCUCCCCCCGACAGACAAAAUAGAAAAGAAGUCUUCAAAAAUUAUAUUUCACUAAAAUGAAAUAUUUGGCAAAGAAGUUGUCGAUGAAUGGAACUCUUUGACGUUUUGGAUAAUUCCAACUAAACUUCCUCUUACACAGUUUUCCCCCUAAUAUUAUGUGCCAGUGUAUAAUAUUUCUAUAUGACCUCCUCUUAAAAAAGAUUUGAAGGUGUGCUGUUAAUAUGCACCCACCCAAAACAGGGGUACAGAAACACAAAACCUAUGGUCAAAAAUCACAAUACAAAAAGGUAUGAUCUGGUUACCAAUUCGGACAGCAGUUUUUGUUUUUCUUUAAAGAAAGUUAUAUGAUCACCCAACGAUACCUUUAAUAAAGACUUUACUGUACUGAAAAUGUCAAGGUCUGCAAAACACCCCGGGCAGAACUUGUCGCUGCACACCGUGAUGGUAUUUCGUCUCGCUAUGACGGUAUUUGAGCACCUGCCAGUGUAGUUCUACACGAAACUAACCAAAGUUUCAAACCCUCAUAGCAGUUUCAGGUAAGUGAGAGAUGAAUUAAUUUUCACUUAAUAUGAAAGUCUUUUUUUUUUUUUUUUUUUUUUUAAAUCUGUGUUUGCUUGUUGCUGUUUUGUGUAAAGCAAAACCUUUUCCAGUUCCUCUUUGUUUAGGUUAAAAGUCCAGUUACUGCACACCCCUAACACUACUCUGUUAAUGGUCAACCUAAGCGUUUAAAAUGUGCGCCAUCUCCUCCCAACAGAGCUGCACUUACACUUCCACUUUCUCUUUCUUUUUGUUCUUCUUCAGGAAAGACGGGGUGCGGAAUUUCUUCUUCUUCUUCGACGGGGAUUUGGAAGGUGACCCUUCAGGGGACAGGGCCUCCUCUAUCUUUUCAGAGCUUUUAAUGGUAAUCUCUACGCUCUCCACAGUACUAGUGGUUAACUGACUGACCCUCUUGGUGAGGUCUUCUUCCACGUCGUGCGCGUCUUCCUUGCCGUUCACCACCACCACAGGUAGCUCUGCAGAUAUGAGGUUGGCACUCUGGGUGUAGAGAUCUGCGUGAUUUUCUUCCAGCCCUAGCUGCUUGCGCUCAAUUGUUUUCUUGUACUCUUCCAGUUCCUUUUCUGUGAGAUGGCUGAAUGGGUUGGGUGGUGCUGGUGGCGCGUGCUCAUCAUCUUCAAAUUGCAUUGGUGGGCUUGGCUUCUUAUCCACAACGAUCCCAGCAAGCAGCUGAGACUGUGGUCCUGCUGUCUUCAGGUCAUAUCGAUUUUGCUCCCGAAUCUUAUUUCUCUUUUCCAGCACCUCACUGGGGUUUGUGUUUAAAGGAACAAACUGGUUUGGGUCUUCAAUUUUGAUUGGUGUUCCUCCACUAGUCUUGGACGAGUCGUCAGCUUUCAUCCACGUGAUCUUGGUCCUGGGACUCGCUUCUCCGUUCCAAGACUCCUCAGGCACAUUUACUUUCAAGUACGUGUUUGGGGAGUUCAGCCAUCUUGUCUUUUCCCUCUGUUGCCUCUGCGCCAGGAAUUUCAGCGGGGAGAGCGGGACCGCAUCGUCUUCAAAGGAAAAGGCAGUCACAGUGGCUGGGAUCUCAACGUCACUCUUAUGUCUGGGCUUUUCCCUGACCAAGGGCUGCCUGUAGGCAUAGCCAGUUCUGUAUCCCAGGUUGUCCAGCAUCCGCAUGAGUGCUUCAAACUCCUGCUCCCCUACUUUCCAUUUCUGCUGUGAAGACAUAUUAACUCCUCCUCCUCCACCUGCUGCCACACCGUGAGUGAAAGGCUUGAACUUCUGCAGAUCCAGUAGUAGGAGAUUGUCUAUCCCACCUGCUCCAGCUAAUGCAUGAACCUGUGUUUCACAGGCCAGUUGCACGUUGAAAAUAUAGUGGAAUGCUUCUUCCAGUGUCUCUCCUAGAGCUACCACACCAUGGUUUCUCAAGACUAAUACCUUGCAACUGGGUCCAAGAACUUUCUGCAGCUGAAUUCUCUCCUCCUGAUCAUCAAGAGAACCCUGGUAGUUGUAAUAAGCGACAUCUCCCAGAAUCAGAGCCUCCUGUGAUAUUGGAAGGAUGCCACACUUCAUAGAUGAAACAGCUGCUGUUGCAGGGGUAUGUAUGUGUAUUACACAUCUGACAUCGGGGCGCGUGGAGUAGAUGGCCACAUGUGGACUGAAUCCUGCACUGUCGAUACUUAGAGUUGUACUGCCCUGGUCAACUACAUCUCCCAGGAUGUUCACCUUAAUCAGAUUGGAAGCUGAAGCUUCAGAAAAGGACAGACCUCUUGGAAUGAUUAGAAUAUGAUCAUGUUCUUUGCUUACUCUGACAGUGAUAUAGGCAUUUGGCAGAUGUGCCCACCCAAACAAGUCAGCCAAUCUGUAUAAACUGGCUAAUUUGCAACGAGUAAGUUUUUCUCCCUUAACAAAUGAGGAGGUAUCUAUCCCAGGUAGAUCAUUGAUGGGGGUAAUCAUUCCAUGGCUGAGUGAAGAUGAGGAAAAACCUGCAAAAGAGCUUGCUGUAAUGUAAUCAGCAAUCUGCUGUAACGCAAGCAGCCCAGUUGGGUUAUUGCCUUUCUUCAUCUGUUCUUGAAUAAGGCAUUCCAGAUCUUCUCUAAAAGCAGGGCUCUGCAGGAUCUGAGUGACCCUCUUCCUCUGCUCCAUCAUGUUGAAGUCCUGCCGCAGGUCCGGAGACAUGUUCCUCUCCCGGAGGUACUCGGGGUCAUUCUCGUUGAUGCGGUCGAAGUACCUCUCCUUGUGGGGCAUUGUGGCUGCAGGGGGAGAAGUGAUCACCACCUGACUGGCAUCGGUACUCAUGCUUCAGCUCUGCGGAUGGGAGUCCUCACCUUGAUUUUUUCCACAGCUCUCCUUGCUCUAUUAAUGUAGUUGACCUCAGAGCCCCGCGCCUCACUCCAUCCCUCCGGCGGCGGCGGGCGCGGGAGCCCAGCACCGCGGCGGGAGGGGAGGGGCGGAGGGGAGGGCCGGGGGCGGAACGAUGUGGCAGGAAGGGACACCUGGGCUCCUCCCCUCCGCUGCUAUCUGCCCGCGGGCGUGCCCUGCCCCCAGCGCCGCUCGGCCAAGUUUGAGGGGCCGC
rnacentral:lncRNA from 1 species